CCGCGGGAUUAGAGUUUGAUCCUGGCUCAGAACGAACGUCAGUGGCGCGCCUAACACAUGCAAGUCGCGCGAGAAAGGGCCUCUGCCCCAGUAAAGCGGCGCACGGGUGAGUAACACGUAGGUCAUCUUCCCCUGAGUGGUGGAUAACUCUCCGAAAGGAGAGCUAAUACAGCAUAAGACCACGACCUCGCCGAGGUUGUGGCCAAAGCAGACCUCUUCAUGAAAGUUUGCGCUUAGGGAUGAGCCUGCGGCCCAUCAGCUAGUUGGUAGGGUAAUGGCCUACCAAGGCUAAGACGGGUAGCUGGUCUGAGAGGAUGAACAGCCACACUGGAACUGAGACACGGUCCAGACUCCUACGGGAGGCAGCAGUGGGGAAUCUUGCGCAAUGGGCGAAAGCCUGACGCAGCGACGCCGCGUGAGCGAUGAAGGCCUUCGGGUUGUAAAGCUCUGUGGGGAGGGAAGAAUAAGGCUUGGCUAAUAUCCAAGUUGAUGACGGUACCUCCUUAGCAAGCACCGGCUAACUCUGUGCCAGCAGCCGCGGUAAGACAGAGGGUGCAAACGUUGUUCGGAAUUACUGGGCGUAAAGCGCGUGUAGGCGGCUAAGUAAGUCGGGCGUGAAAUCCCACGGCUCAACCGUGGAAGUGCACUCGAAACUGCAUAGCUAGAGUCCUGGAGAGGAAGGUGGAAUGCUUGGUGUAGAGGUGAAAUUCGUAGAUAUCAAGCGGAACACCGGUGGCGAAGGCGGCCUUCUGGACAGUGACUGACGCUGAGACGCGAAAGCGUGGGGAGCAAACAGGAUUAGAUACCCUGGUAGUCCACGCCGUAAACGAUGAGUGCU
rnacentral:rRNA from 1 species